UUUGUCUUUGUCGCGUCGUACUUUCUACAUGCUGUGUGUUUGUCGUGUUCCAUUGUUUCAGUUCCAAGUUUUGGUUUUGUGAGAGUUAUUUUUAAGGAGAUUUUUCCAGCAUUAAAGCUGCGUUUUGAGUUCCAGUCCUGUCUUUGAGAGUCCUGCAUUUUGUGUCCUUUUUCCUGCCUGCCACACAGCCUCUCAUGACAGAAAGAUGCGACCGCUACAUGGACCCCGCAGCGUCUGAUGAGCUUCGGGUGGACAUAAUUUAUUCUGUGAAUAAGUUAUGUGACCUGUGGCUGGAUCAUCCGGAAGAAGAGUUUCAGUGUGCUGUAGCUGACUGGCUACAGCGACUGGUUUCCGGUCUCCCGUGGUUUCUGGACUCGCUUCACCCACGCAUACAGGAUUUUUUUCCUUAAUGAGCUCUUCAUCUUCAGCCCCCAGCUGCUACUCAGCUCGGCGAAGGAUGUGCCGCCCGGCCUGCCGGACUUGGAGUUGCUUGACCCAUCGACCACCGGCACGUCACCCCACAGCUUGACUUCAGGAUGUCAAAGCAGCCGGCUGUGGAGAGUGAAAAGGACACUUUUUCUGUUUCUUUGGACCUUGGGACUGUUUAUUCUGGGGCUAUGUGUUUUUUGUGUCAGCUGCCUAGCCAGGAGCUCCGUUUUCAUCACAGCCACCAGUCCAGCCAGAAGCUGCGUCAGCUGCCCAGCCAGAAGCUGCGUUUUCAUCACAGCCACCAGUCCAGCCAGCUGUUCAGUCGCCCUCAGCAGCCCAGUCUCCUGUGUUGCCACUAGUCCAGCCAUUAGCGCGGCCUGCACCUCAGCCAUUAGCGUGGCUGGCAGUUCAGUUAACUACACAGGUUGCAGCUCAACAGUCUAUUCAGCCACUAUGUCCACCCACUCAUUCUAAGGAGGAGGAUAGCCCUGCUAAGACUUUUGUUGUUCCUCUAGACCUGGCCUAUUUAGAGACUGUUACUCUCUCCAGGGUGUCCCCAGAGGCUGAGUUUCAGCCCUCAGUUAACUCUGGACAUGAAGAAGCCAGCGCAACCUGUUUCUCCUGGGAACUCAAUCGGGUUGUCUCAGUGAUUGGUCCCUGCUGAGAGCUCAGGGGAGUUAACUCUGCCACCGUUCUAUGCUGGAAGCUCUAGUGAGCUCAUUCGGCCAGCUAAGGACUGCAUCCUGCUCUUACUGCCUGAGCAGAGCCUCUGUCCUGCGCAGCUCCAAUCAGCUUCAUCUCUGUUCCCCGCGGCCGGCCUCCAGACCUGUUUCGUCGCCGCCACUGCCCUCCCCGUGGUCGGCCUCCAGACCUCUCUCGUCUCUGUCACUGGCCUCCGCGUCGGCCUCCUGAACGGUCUGACAGUUUUCAAAUGAACCUUAAAGAUUUUCCCAGGAAUACCUCAAAUAACAACUGUAUCUCAGACUUCAUUUUAAGAAAAUUUAAAUGAUACAGUGGAAAGUUUCUGCCUCUGUGAUUAUCUGCCUAAGACUGUAAAUGUUGGGUUUGAUUUUAAUUGUUAACAAGUCUGAUGUUGACUACUUGGUAGUGAUGCUAAAAAAAACCCCAAUCAUUUUAUUUUCAGCUUUUCUACCAUCACCUGAACACCUGAAGUCAGCUCAAUUAAAGUGUAGGAUGCUGCUGAUGGCCAUGUAUGUUUGUAUCAGGGCUGUGUUGGGAUCUGUUAGGGGAUGUUACGGAUGGGGCAUGGUGGCUGGAGGUUGCCAGGUUCUUGCAAUAUUCUUACAAUAAGAAUAAUAAAUAUGAUAAAAUAAUAAACAUAGCAAAAACAAUAAAAUAUAAGUAAAUACAAGUCAGUUAAGUCAAUUCAGAUUGAUGAAAGUCUGACUUUCAUCAAUCUGAAUCUCAACAGGUGAAGACUUGUUUUCAGAACUGAAGGAGGAAGUUUAGGAAAACCAGCACAUGAUGUAGAGAAAUUUCAGCACUGUGGCUCGACAGGAGCAGGUCCUGCCUUACCUGAACACCUUUGUCAGUGAUGGAGCUUCCUGUUUGUAUCCAAACACUGGGUCAGUUAAAGAGGGUGGGGGAGUAAAGAAAGGCCACCUCUUCCCUUGUGUUGGUGUAGCUGAAGUCGUAGACAUCCGAUAUUGCACAGUACUGUGUCAAUAUUUUUCCUCUUGCCUUUGGUGCCGUUUAUCCAUCUAGAUUAUUUUGGUAUGGGCAACCCACUCUUGUAGUUUUCUCUGAGCUCUGUGUCUCUGAAAAGUAAUGUUUCCAUUCUAAAGAAAUCCAGACUGUGUUACAGAUCUACUGACCUUGUAGGAAUUCUUUUCUUUCCACUGAACUACAUCUGCUAACCAUAUCAGUGUCCUGGAGGAAGCACGUAAAGGCUUUGAACAAGAAGCUGGACUUCAUGACAGACUUCAUGCUUCUUUGUAGUUGGCAGGUGUGGACACUGCACCAGAUUUCUGAGUUUUAACAAAUUCAUGCAUUUCAACAAUACUUUGAACUAGAAAGGUGGCAGUCAAGAAACAAGCAGUGCUUCAUUUAACAAAGUCAAUAUUUAUAGCAGAGGAGAUGCAGGUCUAGAUCAUUGGACUUAAAAUAUUUAUUAAAAACCCUGGACUAACCUCCAGCCGUAAAACAUGUUUAGCAUAAAAAUAUUAACAGGUGUAAUUAAGACAUGUGUGCAUAAAGUCUUUCAACUACAGCCUCUGUCAACAAACAUGAACAGAACAUUUAAAAUGGCCGUCAGAUAAAAUUCACAGAAAACCUGGAGCAGCAGCAGUUGUUGCCAUCCUGGUUUCUUGGGACAGCAAAACCCUGUUCCUCCUCUGAGACUGAGCUGGAAACAGCUUCAGCAGUCUCAAAGAUGAUGUUGCUCGUCUCCUUAUUAAGAGCACUCUCCACCCAUGCAGUGAGGUCUGCCAUGGGGAGACUCCCUUCAAGGCUGCUGCCAGAACUCCACAAGUCUAUAUGGUCCACAUGGGUCAGCUCAUCUGUGUUGCCAUGAGUCACUUUAAAAAAUUUAUACCAGGGUAAACUGCUGAGUGGCUUUUAAGGCCUAGAGUUGGUGUAGGCAAGAAUGCACAGGACUGAAAGAAUCAUUUGUUUUUCCCCUCAUUGAUCCAUCAUUUAGAAAACUGAAAAAAGCAUUUAGAAAGUGGUCAAGUAAAUGAGCUCUACUAAAACUUUCCACUUUAUUUUUCUGAAUAUUCAUCAUUGUCUGCAAUUGAUCAUUUUAACCACUGAUGUCUGAAGGAAAAAAAGUGUAAUCUCACAGAUAAUGACCUGUUUGUAGUCUUGGGUGGCAGGUUUUCCAUUUCUUUAUACCAGUGAUAUCAAACUGAGAGCUGCAAGAGGUCGUUUAUAAAUUUGUAAUCAGCUGUGUAAGAUGGUAGCCUGGUAUCACCUGCAUAUUAACUCACCUCCACAUUUACUGUGGGAAAUGGCCACUAAUGUGUGAGUGGGUUUGUUUCACAACUGCUGUGAGCCAGUGGCUGUGAUUGGGCUGGGUUCAUUGAAGGCAGGUGUAUUUGAUUGCACUCUAGUCUACUUAUACUCCAGACUACAAGUACUGCUGUUACUGAUGGCCAAAUGAAGCUUUCUGAAGUGUUGAAGCUUGUAUUGGCCAGAAGUAUGAAGAGCAGCUUGAAUCUACAACUUGAAAUGAACUGCUUCAUUAUCAUUGCCCAGUCACAGCUUCUGUUUAAUAUCAUGUGAUAAUUCUGUCUGAUAUCAGGCUAACGUUGUGGUGCUUUGAACCUGUAUUUUCUGUGUGACACAAUGUUAUGUCUGUUUCAUGAAUAAAUUUGAUGAAUAAACUUGUUUAAACAUGA